rnacentral:rRNA from 1 species
GACGAACGCUGGCGGCGUGCUUAACACAUGCAAGUCGAACGGAAAGGCCCUGCUUUUGUGGGGUGCUGGAGUGGCGAACGGGUGAGUAUGACGUGUGUAACCUGCCCUUGUCUUUGGGAUAACUUAAGGAAACUGGGGCUACUAUCGGACAGGAGCUCCUGCUGCAUGGUGGGGGUUGGAAAGUUUCGGCGGUUGGGGAUGGACUCGCGGCUUAUCAGCUUGUUGGUGGGGUAGUGGCUUACCAAUGCUGUGACGGGUAGCCGGCCUGGGAGGGUGACCGGCCACAAUGUGACUGAGAUAGGAGCCAGACGCCAACGGUGGGCAGCAGUGGGAAACAUUCCACAAUGGGCGGAAGCCUGAUACAACGACGCCGGGUGCUAGAUGACGGCCUUCGGGGAAUAAACCGCUUUCGCCUGUGACGCAGCAUGAGUGACGGUAAUUAGUAAAGAAGCACCGGCUAACUACGUG